GGAUAACCUACCCUUAGGACCGGGAUAACCCUGGGAAACUGGGGAUAAUACUGGAUAGGCAAUUUUUCCUGUAAUGGUUUUUUGUUUAAAUGUUUUUUCGCCUAAGGAUGGGUCUGCGGCCGAUUAGGUAGUUGGUUAGGUAAUGGCUUACCAAGCCGUUGAUCGGUACGGGUUGUGAGAGCAAGAGCCCGGAGAUGGAACCUGAGACAAGGUUCCAGGCCCUACGGGGUGCAGCAGGCGCGAAACCUCCGCAAUGUGAGAAAUCGCGACGGGGGGAUCCCAAGUGCCAUUCUUAACGGGAUGGCUUUUCAUUAGUGUAAAGAGCUUUUGGAAUAAGGGCUGGGCAAGACCGGUGCCAGCCGCCGCGGUAACACCGGCAGCUCUAGUGGUAGCAGUUUUUAUUGGGCCUAAAGCGUCCGUAGCCGGUUUAAUAAGUCUCUGGUGAAAUCCUGUAGCUUAACUGUGGGAAUUGCUGGAGAUACUAUUAGACUUGAGACCGGGAGAGGUUAGAGGUACUCCCAGGGUAGAGGUGAAAUUCUGUAAUCCUGGGAGGACCGCCUGUUGCGAAGGCGUCUAACUGGAACGGUUCUGACGGUGAGGGACGAAAGUUAGGGGCGCGAACCGGAUUAGAUACCCGGGUAGUCCUAACUGUAAACGAUGCGGACUUGGUGUUGGGGGUGGCUUUGAGCUGCUCCAGUGCCGAAGGGAAGCUGUUAAGUCCGCCGCCUGGGAAGUACGGUCGCAAGACUGAAACUUAA
rnacentral:rRNA from 1 species